CGACUGGGCUCUACUGUGCAGACUCGCGGGCCUUCACCGAAGGCGGCCAGGCCGCCCCGUGCAAGCGCAGCCAGGGCAUCGGGCGCAGCCGUAAGCAGACUUCCGGGGAUUUCCGCUGAUGAAAUCCCCGUUUCUCUCUCUGGACAGGCUGGCUGAGGGAGCUGUCCAGACCACCGCAAUUGUGCUUCCAGCCGGGACACAAACCCCAGAAACCGCGAGCAGGAGGGAAGCGGGAGGCCGCGCGAACCCCAGCGCCUGGUCAGGAGGCUGUGGCCGCAUGUCCCGUUCCGCGAAAUAAGCCCUGUCUGGGAAAAAUCUCAGCUUGAGGUGCCAGUGCCCAUGUAGCCCCAGUCCUGCACUGGAACAACAGGCACAUCUGGCUCCCUGCAUCUGCAUACUUACUGCUCCUCCAAGAAGCAAGUGGUGUUUGGCACCAUGGACCUCCUGUCAUCCAGAGCUCAUAUCCUGGUGAAGAUUUAGAUGUGUCUCACCCUCCUCUGAUGCCUGAGAAUCCUCAACUUUCAAUGUUUCAUCCCUGCUGAGCCUGCAUCUGUUCUCCAGCUUUAUCUAGGCAUAUGUGACAUUGAAAAUUGUGUAGUGUAAGGUUCAAAUCUUGAUUUGAUUUCUGCAUUUGUUGUGAAAUAUUUGCCCCAAACAACCUAACAUGUCCACCUACCCGUGUUUUCAACAUAUAUCUCUACCUGGGUCAUCUGCAUAACUGUUUUCAAAGAAAAGAAUCACUCUCUAUAUCACAUAUAAAUAAGAGUGCUAUAAAGGUACACGGUUAGCAUUUCUGAACCUUUGAAUAUUUUUGUAUGAGCUCAUUUUGCCAUAUUGUUCAUUUCUACCUAAAUUUACAUGUAAACCUUCAGUCCUGGUUUAUUUUCCUGAAGAUAUUUGAGUGAAUAAGUAGUAGACUGAUUUCUAAUUUCCAUGAUUAUUUGAUAAGGUUAUGACAGUC
rnacentral:lncRNA from 1 species